rnacentral:lncRNA from 1 species
UAAGCCCAAACUGAUCCGCGACCAUACCAUACAACAUUUGUAUGUCUGAUUACGGUUUUAAGGUCUUUUAAAUACUAAGUUCAAUUCCAUUUCAAGUGAGGUUCAUGAACAAACAAUCUUAUCAAGUGAACAUAAGGAAAAUCGGAUUGUAUAUAUAGUAAAUGAGAUCCAUACAUCAUCCAUAGAUUCAUACUAAUAGGUUUACACACUUAGUCUAUCAUAAGUUCACAGUUUGCACAAUAGGCUAUCAAUACUUCACAUCUAUCUACAAUGACCCAUUCACCACACAUAUUCCCUUGGCUUGAAUCCUCACGGCAUCUUUCCUUUACCACGGUCCAGGUCCGAUCCUGAAACCACAC